AAACUCUUUCUUGAGAUGUUCAACUGUUUGGAAAAUUGUAUCCAGAGGUUCCUAGGAUAUUCAGAUCAUAUACUUUGAAGAUUAUCAAUAUUGUUCUCGAGAACUUGCUGCACUUUCAGCUCAAUACCCUCUAGUACUUUCAUUAUCCAGUGGACCAUAUAAAUAUGCAGUCACUACAUCAACUUGCUGCAAGUCUAAUUUUCUCUCUUAUAUAGUCAAACUUAUGAGAAAUAUAAAAGUAAUUGCAUCCACCACAUGGGAGAAUGUCUCCUCAUAAUCUAUUACUGGUCUUUGUUAGAAUUUUGUGCAACAUCAGCUUUAUAUCUCACCAUUUCUAUUCCUCACAAGACCCAUUUAUAUCCACUGGUUUUAACAUCAUAUGGCGUCUUAAUCAUAUGGUCAAAUACGCAUUUCUUCCUUAAACUAUUUAACCUCACGUUUCCAGUCAAUCCAAUCUGUUAUACGAGUGCGCACUC
rnacentral:lncRNA from 1 species